rnacentral:sRNA from 1 species
CCGGCCCUUUUCGCCGCCUCGCAAGCGGGCACUGGUUUCAGGAAAGGAUGUCCCAUGGCCGUAUAUGCAAGCGUACAUCAGUGCUUGCUAUCACGGCAUUAUCGCCAGUGGUGCUGUCGUGAUGCGGUCUUCGCAUGGACCGCGCAAUGAAGAUACGAUACUUCUGUAUCGUGCUUGUUGUAUCUGGUGCAUUGUGUCUUCACGGUGAUCGGAGUUACUCAGGUAAUUCUGCACGCGUGAUGUUCAGCGCCCAGAGCAAGUAAGCCAGGUAGCCGCCUUUCGGGGCGGCUUUCCUU